AACAAAAAAACAAAUAAAUAAUGCAUACACCAUAUUUCAGCAUCAUAACAAACCAAUAUGAAUAUAUGGCCAUUUUGGUCAAUGAAAAGGUUCCUGAAUCUUGGUAAAUAACACAGCAAGGGAUAACAAGCAUUCAAGAGAUACAGGGGUUUCACUAUAACACAACAAUAUUAAGUAUACAUGGUUUAGUUUGGGCAACUAAAAAGCUUCCUGAAUCUUGGUAAACAAUUGAGGCAAUAGCAUAUUUAGCUAUAUGCAAAUCACUUUGCUGAUAAGGAACCCGCUAACACAAGCACAGAUUCAACACGUGAAGCCUUGAAGGGUUAAAUACUAUGAGUUGUAAGAAUACUGGGCAGCGCCAAGAACCAGGACCGAAGAACUCUAGAGCAGCUUUCUGGAACCAUGCCCCCUUUCCCUAGAUGCAGAUAACAAAAUUCCUCAAAUUUGAACCUACAACUUGUGGAAAUACAGAAUAUUCAGUGAAGUGGUAGGAACACAAGCUUCAAGGUUGCCGUGGGAGAACCAGCUUUGGAUGAUGUUCUGAAAUGUGCUAGCUGGGGUAAGUGCAUCAGGCCACCUAUCCACCAACCUGAAACCAAAUGAAAGUAUAGAUGGUUCAUCAACUCUUCGAAAGACAUGACAAAGGAUUAGAGCUGGUGUACUAUCCUCCUUAUCGCCUCUCAGACGCUGCUGAAAGUAUAGAUGGUUCAUCAACUCUUCGAAAGACAUGACAAAGGAUUAGAGCUGGUGUACUAUCCUCCUUAUCACCUAUGUCAGAUCGGAUCAGCUCUUUUGCAGUUGCAAACAAAGGAGAGAUUGCAUCAGCAACAUAAGUGACAUCUGUGCCUAUUAUGACAUCGAAACCUCUAUCAUUUAGCCUCUUGAUGGACUCUACAUCAUCUUUAUUUCCCCACUCAAGCUUCUUUGUUAUUAGACUUGCAAGACUUGAUGGUUGGAGAUUCAGAGCGACAUUCUGGUUUAACAGAUCAAGUGCUUUUGUGUCUCCAUCAGUUGCAACCACAAGAUCAGCAGAUUUAGCAGCAACCAUAGAGCAAAUGCCCC
rnacentral:lncRNA from 1 species